GAUGAACGCUGGCGGCGUGCCUAAUACAUGCAAGUCGAGCGAACAGACGAGGAGCUUGCUUCUCUGAUGUUAGCGGCGGACGGGUGAGUAACACGUGGAUAACCUACCUAUAAGACUGGGAUAACUUCGGGAAACCGUAGCUAAUACCGGAUAAUAUUUUGAACCGCAUGGUUCAAUAGUGAAAGACGGUCUUGCUGUCACUUAUAGAUGGAUCCGCGCUGCAUUAGCUAGUUGGUAAGGUAACGGCUUACCAAGGCAACGAUGCGUAGCCGACCUGAGAGGGUGAUCGGCCACACUGGAACUGAGACACGGUCCAGACUCCUACGGGAGGCAGCAGUAGGGAAUCUUCCGCAAUGGGCGAAAGCCUGACGGAGCAACGCCGCGUGAGUGAUGAAGGUCUUCGGAUCGUAAAACUCUGUUAUUAGGGAAGAACAAAUGUGUAAGUAACUGUGCACGUCUUGACGGUACCUAAUCAGAAAGCCACGGCUAACUACGUG
rnacentral:rRNA from 1 species